rnacentral:rRNA from 1 species
AAUCAACGCUGGCGGCGUGCCUAACACAUGCAAGUCGAACGAGAAAGUGGGGGCAACCCUGCGAGUACAGUGGCGGACGGGUGAGUAACACGUGAACAACCUACCCUUGAGUGGGGAAUAACACCGCGAAAGCGGUGCUAAUACCGCAUAACAUCUUUGGGCUGCAUGGUCUGAAGAUCAAAAGCGCAAGUUGCUUGAGGAGGGGUUCGCGGCUGAUUAGCGAGUUGGUGAGGUAACGGCCCACCAAGGAGACGACCAGUAGCCGGCCUGAGAGGGCGAACGGCCACACUGGAACUGAGACACGGUCCAGACUCCUACGGGAGGCAGCAGUGGGGAAUUUUGCGCAAUGGGCGAAAGCCUGACGCAGCAACGCCGCGUGGAGGAUGAAGGCCUUCGGGUCGUAAACUCCUGUCGAUGGGGACGAAGUCCUACGAGGGAUUGACCGUACCCGUUGAGGAAGCCACGGCUAACUCCGUGCCAGCCGCCGCCGUAAUAC